rnacentral:rRNA from 1 species
UGCCUAAUACAUGCAAGUUGAGCGCUGAAGGUUGGUACUUGCUACCGACUGGAUGAGCAGCGAACGGGUGAGUAACGCGUGGGGAAUCUGCCUUUGAGCGGGGGACAACAUUUGGAAACGAAUGCUAAUACCGCAUAAAAACUUUAAACACAAGUUUUAAGUUUGAAAGAUGCAAUUGCAUCACUCAAAGAUGAUCCCGCGUUGUAUUAGCUAGUUGGUGAGGUAAAGGCUCACCAAGGCGAUGAUACAUAGCCGACCUGAGAGGGUGAUCGGCCACAUUGGGACUGAGACACGGCCCAAACUCCUACGGGAGGCAGCAGUAGGGAAUCUUCGGCAAUGGACGAAAGUCUGACCGAGCAACGCCGCGUGAGUGAAGAAGGUUUUCGGAUCGUAAAACUCUGUUGGUAGAGAAGAACGUUGGUGAGAGUGGAAAGCUCAUCAAGUGACGGUAACUACCCAGAAAGGGACGGCUAACUACGUGCCAGCAGCCGCGGUAAUACGUAGGUCCCGAGCGUUGUCCGGAUUUAUUGGGCGUAAAGCGAGCGCAGGUGGUUUAUUAAGUCUGGUGUAAAAGGCAGUGGCUCAACCAUUGUAUGCAUUGGAAACUGGUAGACUUGAGUGCAGGAGAGGAGAGUGGAAUUCCAUGUGUAGCGGUGAAAUGCGUAGAUAUAUGGAGGAACACCGGUGGCGAAAGCGGCUCUCUGGCCUGUAACUACACUAGGCCAAG